ensembl:misc_RNA 7SK 7SK RNA
GGAGAGUGAUGUAUCUAGCUGUGGUGUGUCACCCUGCUAGUGACAUGGGCUGGCUCAGUGGGUCUGGCUGGCUGAGUGGAGUCCUUUCCCACCCUAGCCACUCCGCACACAUUCCUGCCAAGGUUGCAUACUUGGUGGCAAAAGAUGACCUUGGCCAAACAGAGAGAGGGGCCUUCUUCAGUCUAGAGGACACAAGUCACUGUGCUGCCUACUAGAACAUCCCCUACCAGUAGACUCAAGUACAGGUGACAAUGCAACCAAGGCCAAAUGACACCUCCACUCAGGCCCACGCAUCGUGAUUUCCCUGCCCAGCUCUAUUU